UACGUAGGGUGCGAGCGUUAAUCGGAAUUACUGGGCGUAAAGCGUGCGCAGGCGGUUUUGUAAGCCAGAUGUGAAAUCCCCGGGCUUAACCUGGGAAUGGCAUUUGGGACUGCAAGGCUGUAGUGCGGCAGAGGAGACUGGAAUUCCUGGUGUAGCAGUGAAAUGCGUAGAUAUCAGGAGGAACACCGAUGGCGAAGGCAGGUCUCUGGGCUGACACUGACGCUCAUGCACGAAAGCGUGGGGAGCAAACAGG
rnacentral:rRNA from 1 species